rnacentral:sRNA from 1 species
UAUUGAGAUAUGGUAAUUAAGGGCUAAAC